GGGGAGCCCCCGGAGGGCAGCUGGGGCUGCGGAAUUUUGGAAGCGCAGAAGUUUUCUCCUCCUGUCCUGUAACUGGUUUUCACUCACUCAACUGAGAGAUUUCUUUGUUGCAAUGAUGGGGUCUAAGAUGACACUUCUGGAGGCUGCAGGCGAGAAGCACAGCUGAUAUCAUCUUUUAUUGUGCGUUGUUAUUUGCCUAGCAUUGUAAAUUAAGGAGGAAAAGUAACAAAGAGCUUGAAGACACGCACAGCUCACAGGCCCUGGGUGGAGGCUGGCAGCAUCGGACAGACAGAACCAAGACAUCUGAGGGGCAACCAGGAGGUGCGUGUGGCUGCAGAGCACACAGACUUGACUUUGGACAAAACUGAGAAGAACUCAUAAACUUGGCUUCCUCACUUCUGCUCCUCAGACGCAGGUGAUGCUUUGAAGAUAUUAGCCUAGCAAGAUGGAAGCAGAUUUAAAAUUUUACAUAAGAAGUGACCUUUUUCAG